rnacentral:rRNA from 1 species
GACGAGCCUCACAAACGUUAUUCGGAAUUACUGGGCUUAAAGGGUGCGUAGGCGGCGCGGAAAGUUGGGUGUGAAAUCCCUCGGCUCAACCGAGGAACUGCGCCCAAAACUACCGUGCUCGAGGAAGAUAGAGGUGAGCGGAACUCACGGUGGAGCGGUGAAAUGCGUUGAUAUCGUGAGGAACACCCGUGGCGAUAGCGGCUCACUGGGUCUUUUCUGACGCUGAUGCACGAAAGCUAGGGGAGCAAACGGG